UACGUAGGUGGCAAGCGUUGUCCGGAUUUAUUGGGUUUAAAGGGUGCGUAGGUGGUCUAUUAAGUCAGUGCUGAAAUAUCCCGGCUUAACCGGGAGGGUGGCAUUGAUACUGAUGGACUUGAGUAAAGUUGAGGUGGGCGGAAUUGACGGUGUAGCGGUGAAAUGCUUAGAUAUCGAGAGGAACACCUGCGGCGAAGGCGGGUUGCUGGGCUGACACUGACGCUGAAGCGCGAAAGCUAGGGGAGCGAACGGG
rnacentral:rRNA from 1 species